rnacentral:lncRNA from 1 species
GAAAAUCUAAUAAUAAAUUAGUCAAGCUAUCUCUUAUACCACAAAAAGAGAAUCCAAGUGUGCAAGUGUAGAGGAAGAAUCCUAAAACUUUACUAAAUGGCUAAAUCACCAUAGCCAAGCAAAAUCUUACAAAUAUAAGCUUUCUUCUCAAAAACAAUCACAAGACUUAACUUGACAAGAAUGUUAAAUCAAGAGGGUUUUUCCUCCUAAAUCCUCAAAUCCUUAUUGACACUAACAAGGUCAAUUAACAUAAAAUGCUAAGUGGAUGAAAAUCCACUAUACUAAACUAGACUACAUCUAUCCAAUAUGAUUUGGCAUCGAAUGCCUAUCAUGUGAUAUAGAGUUUUUUUUACAAAGUAUUUUGAAUUAUUUCAAAAAUCCAUUUUGCCAUAGUUUAGAAGGUUAGCUUGGCUAUCAAAAAGAUUAUACAUUGCAAGAUUUGAAUCUUGUAAAUCAAACUAACUAUAUUUUCAAGUAUACAAUUCAAGAACAACCAAAGUUGGUGUCAAAUAGUCAAAGUUGGUAUCAUAUAAAUCAAAUAGUCAUUUGAUUUAUCUAGUGAAUGUGAUAAUUUCACAACAAACAACAUCAUUGAACUUAAACUUCAUAUUGAUUUCUACUUUCUUAAUAUUAAGAAUAAAAAAUAAACAUAAGCUCCAAUUAAAAUUGAUAAUAAAUAUGAACUUCAUUCAAAAUUUGGAAAAUCUCUCAAUUUCAUUUAUGUCAUAUAAAAUUAUUUAAAUUAUUUAAAAUAAAAUAUAAAAUAUCACACCUGGAUAUAAAAUACCAAAAUCUUAUUUUGUUAUAUAUUCACAAAAAACCUAGAAAGUACUAUAGAACUAAAAAAGUUUCUAUACAAAGAAGCCAACUUUUAAAAACUUUGGUUCAAAAGCCUUACCAAACUCUCUUAGUUGGUGAAGACAAGCCUUUCUUUAGAAGUCUUGGCCUUUAGAUAUAGUGUAAAGUUAAAAUAGAUCAUGAAAUAAAUCAAAUUAUUUUCCACUAUAAAUUUAAAUGUGUUAACUUAUAUAUUGAUUCUAAGAAGUAUAAAAGGUGUUUUUUUUUUUUUUUAUUUUUAAAGAAAUUUCCAACCUGGGUUCUUACAGAAAAGAAAUAUAUUCUAAAAUUUCCUUUAAAUAUAAUUCUGAAAAUCAUUUGGUUCUUUUUCUUCCAUAAAAAUAUUGAUUUAUCAUCAAAAGUAAGAUGAAGUAAAAAAGUUAAACUUUUUAAGUUAAAAGGUAAAAUUUGAAUCAUUUGAAUAGAUCAAAAUGACAUAAUAAAAGAAUAGUUGAAUAGGAAUACAUUGGGGGGGGUAGAAGGGGUGUUAGAAGGGCGAUGAAUGCCAUGCCUUGCCCUGUCUUUGCCUUGCUUUAUUAUGCCCCCC